rnacentral:rRNA from 1 species
AAAMGGUGGUAAUGCCGGAUGCUCCAGUUGRMYGCAUGUYCYUCUGGGAAAGMUUYAUCGGUAUGGGAUGGGGUCGCGUCCUAUCAGCUUGAUGGCGGGGUAACGGCCCACCAUGGCUUCGACGGGUAGCCGGCCUGAGAGGGCGACCGGCCACAUUGGGACUGAGAUACGGCCCAGACUCCUACGGGAGGCAGCAGUGGGGAAUAUUGCACAAUGGGCGCAAGCCUGAUGCAGCGACGCCGCGUGCGGGAUGACGGCCUUCGGGUUGUAAACCGCUUUUGACUGGGAGCAAGCCCUUCGGGGUGAGUGUACCUUUCGAAUAAGCACCGGCUAACUACGUGCCAGCAGCCGCGGUAAUACGUAGGGUGCAAGCGUUAUCCGGAAUUAUUGGGCGUAAAGGGCUCGUAGGCGGUUCGUCGCGUCCGGUGUGAAAGUCCAUCGCUUAACGGUGGAUCCGCGCCGGGUACGGGCGGGCUUGAGUGCGGUAGGGGAGACUGGAAUUCCCGGUGUAACGGUGGAAUGUGUAGAUAUCGG